rnacentral:rRNA from 1 species
AGUGAACGCUGGCGGUAGGCCUAACACAUGCAAGUCGAACGGCAGCACAGUAAGAGCUUGCUCUUACGGGUGGCGAGUGGCGGACGGGUGAGGAAUACAUCGGAAUCUACUUUUUCGUGGGGGAUAACGUAGGGAAACUUACGCUAAUACCGCAUACGACCUACGGGUGAAAGCAGGGGAUCUUCGGACCUUGCGCGAUUGAAUGAGCCGAUGUCGGAUUAGCUAGUUGGCGGGGUAAAGGCCCACCAAGGCGACGAUCCGUAGCUGGUCUGAGAGGAUGAUCAGCCACACUGGAACUGAGACACGGUCCAGACUCCUACGGGAGGCAGCAGUGGGGAAUAUUAGACAAUGGGCGCAAGCCUGACCCAGCCAUACCGCGUGGGUGAAGAAGGCCUUCGGGUUGUAAAGCCCUUUUGUUGGGAAAGAAAAGCAGCAGGUUAAUACCCCGCUGUUCUGACGGUACCCAAAGAAUAAGCACCGGCUAACUUCGUG